rnacentral:rRNA from 1 species
UACGAAGGGGGCUAGCGUUGUUCGGAUUUACUGGGCGUAAAGCGCACGUAGGUGGGUUGUUAAGUCAGGGGUGAAAUCCUGGAGCUCAACUCCAGAACUGCCUUUGAUACUGGCAACCUAGAGGCUGGAAGAGGUUAGUGGAAUUCCCAGUGUAGAGGUGAAAUUCGUAGAUAUUGGGAAGAACACCAGUGGCGAAGGCGGCUAACUGGUCCAGAUCUGACGCUGAGGUGCGAAAGCGUGGGGAGCAAACAGG